rnacentral:misc_RNA from 1 species
AACGCACAUUGCACCCUCUGGUAUUCCGGGGGGUAUGCCUGUUCGAGCGUCAUUUCAACCCUCAAGCCUAGCUUGGUAUUGGGUGUCAUCUAGUUAGAUGCAUCUUAAAAUUAGUGGUGGUUCCAUCUGGCUUCAAGUGUAGUAAAUUUCUCGCUUUGGAGGCUAGAUGUGUUUACCAUCAACAACACCCUUUUCAAAUGGUUGACCUCGGAUCAGGUAGGGAUACCCGCUGAACUUAA